rnacentral:rRNA from 1 species
UACGGAGGGUGCAAGCGUUGUCCGGAUUUAUUGGGUUUAAAGGGUGCGUAGGUGGCCUUAUAAGUCAGCGGUGAAAGUCUGCAGCUUAACUGUAGAACUGCCAUUGAUACUGUAAGGCUUGAGUACUGAUGAGGUAGGCGGAAUUGACGGUGUAGCGGUGAAAUGCAUAGAUAUCGUCAAGAACACCGAUAGCGAAGGCAGCUUACCAAGCUGUAACUGACACUGAGGCACGAAAGUGUGGGGAUCAAACAGG